rnacentral:rRNA from 1 species
UACGAAGGGGGCUAGCGUUGCUCGGAAUCACUGGGCGUAAAGGGUGCGUAGGCGGGUUUUUAAGUCAGGGGUGAAAUCCUGGAGCUCAACUCCAGAACUGCCUUUGAUACUGAAAAUCUUGAGUCCGGGAGAGGUGAGUGGAACUGCGAGUGUAGAGGUGAAAUUCGUAGAUAUUCGCAAGAACACCAGUGGCGAAGGCGGCUCACUGGCCCGGUACUGACGCUGAGGUGACGAAGCGGUGGGAGCAAACAGG